UAAAGGUACUUCAGUUAUCAAUAUUGUUACAUUCCCAUAGUGUCUUUAUUUAGUCACUUGUUUUCUUUCAUCUUGUCUUGAGGUGGAGUUGAUCAUCUUCCAUUGGGUGCAGUUCUUGGAGGAAUCAUUGGGAUCAUCGUGCUCAUCAGCCUGGUUGUCUUUGUUUGGCGUUUGAAGGCUCCACAUCCAACUGCACAUCAGAGUCAGAAUCAGCCUGUUGGAGAGACAGUGACAACAGAAGAAGGAGACCUCCACUAUGGAGAGAUUAACUUCUCGGGGCUCAGAUCUGGACCGUCCUCGGUCUCGGAGCAGGACGGUGGACAGCAGGAGGACACGCUGUAUGCGCAGGUCAAAGUGUCCAAGGCAGCAGACAACGUCACACGGACUGCUGACGUCCCAGAGGAUCUCUACGCUCAAGUGAAGAGAAAAUGAGCCGUUUCUUGUCGUCACAUUUGGCUUUUAUUAUUAAGAUGCUUUUUACAUAAAUAACAAGCUUCAUCUGUCAGUUUAUGGAGGAAAAGAAUCGUGAGAAAAUGUAAUCUUCACUGCUCACAGUUAAUUAAAGAGGAACUUCAAACCUCCACACCCUGCAGCUCAGUUGAUUUCUUCAUACUUUUGACACCGUAAGGUUUGUGUUUAUCAGAUAAAAUGACAAAUAAAAGUCCCACGGCUCUAAAUAGAGAAGUAUUCCAAAAAAAGGUGCUGUUCAUAUAUCAUGUUUUAAAUUUGUUUUAAGUAUUUUUUAAAAGGCUUCUUUAAACCUUAUUUAUUAAGCUAUUCAGUUUCUUUUUUACAUCUUUUGCAUUAACCUCGUUUUAUUGUAAUAUUUCUUCUUCAAAAGACAAUAAUUUACUGCAUUUCAAGAUAUGUAUUAAUAUCAUGGUAAUAAAAACCAUAUAACUUA